rnacentral:rRNA from 1 species
UACGUAGGGUGCGAGCGUUAAUCGGAAUUACUGGGCGUAAAGCGUGCGCAGGCGGCGCGUUAAGACAGGUGUGAAAGCCCCGAGCUUAACUUGGGAAUUGCGCUUGUGACUGGCGUGCUGGAGUGUGGCAGAGGGAGGUGGAAUUCCACGUGUAGCAGUGAAAUGCGUAGAGAUCGGGAGGAACACCGGCGGCGAAGGCGGCUGCCUGGACCGGCCCUGACGCUGAGGCGCGAAAGCUAGGGGAGCAAACAGG